rnacentral:rRNA from 1 species
UACGGAGGGUGCAAGCGUUAAUCGGAAUUACUGGGCGUAAAGCGCGCGUAGGCGGCUGGGUAAGUCGAUUGUGAAAUCCCCGGGCUCAACCUGGGAAUUGCAGUCGAGACUGCCCGGCUAGAGUGUGGGAGAGGGUGGUGGAAUUCCCGGUGUAGCGGUGAAAUGCGUAGAUAUCGGGAGGAACAUCAGUGGCGAAGGCGACCGCCUGGCCCAACAC